rfam:Sulfolobus solfataricus P2, complete genome.
AAGGCACCCAAUGAAACUCCCCAUGUCCUUGAAGGGAGUUAGUCCCGUAGACGGCAUGGGGAG